rnacentral:rRNA from 1 species
CACGUAGGGUGCGAGCGUUGUCCGGAUUUAUUGGGCGUAAAGAGCUCGUAGGCGGUUCGGUAAGUCGGGUGUGAAACCUCCAGGCUCAACCUGGAGACGCCACCCGAUACUGCUGUGACUAGAGUCCGGUAGGGGAGCGUGGAAUUCCUGGUGUAGCGGUGAAAAUGCGCAGAUAUCAGGAGGAACACCAGCGGCGAAGGCGGCGCUCUGGGGCCGGAACUGACGCUGAGGAGCGAAAAGCGUGGGGGAGCAAAACAGG